CUCAGUAUAAGAUAGCAAAACUCUCCCUUCAGCAUCUCUGGCCACAAUACCUAUGGCUGAGCAAGACUGACUUCCAUGAUAUGCUCCAUCAAAAUUAAUUUUUAUAAACUCAUGAUGCGGAUGUUGCCAUCGUUGUUUUUCUGUGAUUUAUGCCGAUCUCCUUCUUUCAAAAUGAGUUAACUCAGUGAUAUAAUUGUUGAUGAAAUUUGCGGUAUCUUUGCCAUUACUAAGUUUUCCUUCGUGUAUUCUUCUGUUACGGUCUCCCCAUAUGGCCCAUAAAGCGCAGCAGAAUAAACGACUUCGGCAAGGAUUGAGUUGUCCAAAUACCCAGGGCACUCUCGGAAAAUAUGGUCCAAUGUUUCCGCUCGUGCUUCAUAUCUAGGGCAUGUUGUGAUGUUUAAAAGCUUUCUGUGCUGCAUAUUCACUUUUGUAGGCAAGAAAUUCCAUGAUAAUCUCUAUAUUGUAAUUGCAAUUUUAGCUGGUAGAUUUAGGCUCCAAAGUUUUUUGUAGAAUUUCCUAUAGAUAAGUUGUAACGCAUAAGUGCUAGGAUCUUCAUUCGAACUCUGUAAUAGUUUAUAAGCACUACAGACUGUGAAUUCACCCGUCAACUCACCUCCCCAGAUGAGGAAAUCUUCAUGAGGCGUUCGUGCCAAAGGGAUCCGAAGAAUUCUUGCAGCGUCAUCUUCUGUGAAGGUAUUGUUUAUCAACUCCCUCUUCUAAAGCCUGGUAUCGCUAUCAAUUAGCUCAUUAACUUUUA